rnacentral:sRNA from 1 species
CUAUUCUCUGGAUGGGAGGUGGAGCCUACAACUGAGUGGGAAGGGCUAAAAUCAAAGGCUUAAAAGGGAAGUUUCCUUUGUAGAAUCUCUUUCCUGGAAAGGAUUCUUGUAGUGACUGCCAUGGAACACAGACAGACCUAUGGGAACACACGGGAACCUCUUUUAGAAAACCUGACAAGCGAAUAUGACUUGGAUCUUUUCCGAAGAGCACAAGCCCGGGCUUCAGAGGAUUUGGAGAAGUUAAGGCUGCAAGGCCAAAUCACAGAGGGAAGCAACAUGAUUAAAACAAUUGCUUUUGGCCGCUAUGAGCUUGAUACCUGGUACCAUUCUCCAUAUCCUGAAGAAUAUGCACGGCUGGGACGUCUCUAUAUGUGUGAAUUCUGUUUAAAAUAUAUGAAGAGCCAAACGAUACUCCGCCGGCACAUGGCCAAAUGUGUGUGGAAACACCCACCUGGUGAUGAGAUAUAUCGCAAAGGUUCAAUCUCUGUGUUUGAAGUGGAUGGCAAGAAAAACAAGAUCUACUGCCAGAACCUGUGCCUGUUGGCCAAACUUUUUCUGGACCACAAGACAUUAUAUUAUGAUGUGGAGCCCUUCCUGUUCUAUGUUAUGACAGAGGCGGACAACACUGGCUGUCACCUGAUUGGAUAUUUUUCCAAGGAAAAGAAUUCAUUCCUCAACUACAACGUCUCCUGUAUCCUUACUAUGCCUCAGUACAUGAGACAGGGCUAUGGCAAGAUGCUUAUUGAUUUCAGUUAUUUGCUUUCCAAAGUCGAAGAAAAAGUUGGCUCCCCAGAACGUCCACUCUCAGAUCUGGGGCUUAUAAGCUAUCGCAGUUACUGGAAAGAAGUACUUCUCCGCUACCUGCAUAAUUUCCAAGGCAAAGAGAUUUCUAUCAAAGAAAUCAGUCAGGAG